rnacentral:rRNA from 1 species
GAUCAUGGCUCAGGAUGAACGCUAGCUACAGGCUUAACACAUGCAAGUCGAGGGGCAGCGGGAUUGAAGCUUGCUUCAAUUGCCGGCGACCGGCGCACGGGUGAGUAACGCGUAUCCAACCUUCCGUACACUCAGGAAUAGCCUUUCGAAAGAAAGAUUAAUACCUGAUGGUAUGAUGAGAUUGCAUGAUAUCAUCAUUAAAGAUUUAUCGGUGUACGAUGGGGA